rfam:Gossypium hirsutum cultivar TM-1 chromosome 23, whole genome shotgun sequence
AAUCCAUGAUGAGGACACCUUUGCACUAGGUCCUUGUAUCUCUCCCAUGUAUCGUAAAGAGUUUCUAAGUCCAUCUGCACAAACGAAGAGAUAUCAUUAUGUAAUU